rnacentral:misc_RNA from 1 species
GUAUAUUCUCGUUUGCAUUCUUCAUUCGGUAGUGUAAAUAAGUGUGCACAGAGUGUCUCUUUGGUGUGCACCUGCAGUGCCAGCACAACCAUUUCACUAAUGAUCCUUCCGCAGGUUCACCUACGGAAA